ensembl:lncRNA
UAGGGGGCGCUCUGGUAAAGUUACCUUCCUUUUAACACACACACACACUCUCUCUCUCUCUCUCUCUCUCUCUCUCUCUGUUCAUCAGUAAAGCAGCAGCUGAGCUCUUUACUCAUUGAACUUGAAAACCUGCUGGAAACGCUUUCACCGGAGCUGCUGCUGCUGAUAACCGACAAACAUGUUCUGCAGACGGGCAUGGCAGAGAGUCGGGCCGCUGGCACGGAAGGCUUUCAAACCGGCAUCCACAAACACGACUCCAGUACGACACAUGGCCUUUGGGGUCCCUGGAGGCUCCAACAACAUGACAUAUUUUGUUUUGUGUGGAGGAGGCCUCACUGCUGCAGUCGUCUAUGCCUACAAGACAGUCAACGGUGAUACUGAGGACAAACUCGCCAACACAGGCUCAGCGGCAAAAGCUCCUGCAGCCGAAGCAGCACCAGAGGCAGCAGCUCCUGCAGCUGAACCUGCUCCAGUGGAGGAAGCUGCACCAGUCGUCGAGGUCGCUGUCGAGUCUGUCGCUGCUGCUGUAGAACCAGUAGCAGAAACCGCCGCCGAACCUGUCGCCGAGGCUGCAUCUGAAGAAGCUCCCGCUGUGGCUGUCGAAGCUGUUGUCGCCGAGCCUGCAGCCGAGCCUGCAGCCACAGAAGAAGCCGCUGCUCCUGCGGCAGCCGUGGAAGCUGCACCUGAAGCCGCUGUGGAAGUCCCUGCUGCUGUGGAAGUCGCUGCCGCUGUGGAGGCACCAGCAGAAGCCCCAACAGCAGAGAGCACUGAGUCUAUGCCAGAUCUGCUCACAGCUGUGAAGAUCUUGGCCAGCUCUCCAGUUGAGAUCGCAGCCGCUUCAGUUGGUGAGACAAGUCUGGUGACAGCUGUCCGACAAAUUGAAAGUGAAGAAAAAGGAGUGGAGUCCACACAGGAGGUGUUGGAACCAGAAGCUCUGGAGGCAACUCCAGAGGUGACAGCUAAAGAGGCAUCAGAGGAGCCAGCUGCUGUAGAAAGCGAAGAGGAGCUGAAGUCUGCAGAGCCUGAGGAGGUGCCUGGAAAUGAUGAAGCAUCGGCUCCAGCUGCAGAAGAAGCGAUAACAGAGGAGACAUCUGCUCCUGCUGCUGCAGAGGAGGAGGAAGCUGCUGCUGCUUCUUCUGAGGAAACUGCUGCAGGCCCCACAGUGGAGGAGGCUGAGGCUGAAGGUCAGGAACUACAGGCAGAAACUGCUCCUGAAGAUGCUGCUCCCACUGAGGAAGCUCCUUCUGUUGCGGAGGUCACCAUUACUGCUGAAGCUGCUCCAGUGGAUGAAACAUCAGCACAGGAGGAAGCAGCUGGUGAAACAUCAGCACAGGAGGAAGCAGCUGGUGAAACAUCACCACAGGAGGAAGCAGCUGGUGAAACAUCACCACAGGAGGAAGCAGUUGGUGAAACAUCAGCAGAGGAGGUAGGAGCUGGUGAAACAUCAGCAGAGGAGGUAGCAGCUGGUGAAACAUCAGCAGAAGAAGCUCCGGCAGAGGAAGCAGUCAUUGGCGUGACUCAGCUGGCAGCAGCCUCUACUGGCCCGGACCUGGAGGUUCUUUCAGCUGCAGAGCCAGAAUCUCCAGCGCAUGAGGAGGAACAUUGCCACUCCUGCCACUCUGCUCCAGCAGCAGCAGCAGAGGAGGUGGCGCCAUCUGCUGCUUUGGGAGAGAAGCUGGUCACUGAGGGAGCUCUGGAUAUUACACUUGAAGUCAAUGAGGCCACAUCACUGGUGGAGGGACAAGAGCCACAGGUGUCUAGCUGGACUGUAAAAAGCUGCUCAGUGAUGUAAUAUUGCAGUUUAGAAGGGACGAUGGCGGUGGCGACAGCCCAGUCGUGACAGCGUGCCUUCCAUAACACUCUUCCUAUCUGUCGAUCAAACCAGGAUGACUGAUGGAAAACACAGGAAAGGAGUAGCUGCAGAUUAACUAUCUAAUGUGCCCUUUCUGAAGCGUUACCACAGAGUUCUGUUUUACUUGUGCAGUCAGUGUUAGCAUGUGUGAAAUGAUUCCAGUGAUUGUCCUCUAGGUGCUGCUGCUGCCAAACCUUUCGUGACCAGCUGAGGUUCUUGCAGUCUGCAGCGGAGUGGAAGUGAUUUGCUGUUGCUGUAAUUUUGUGAUAGGCUGCACACAAGAGAUUAGGUGGGGCUGCACCUACUGUGUAUGUCAUUUACCUGCUUGUGUCAGAUGAGAUUAUAGCCAAGAGAUGUACUUUUUGUCACUUUUUCCUGUAAUACAAGUGCAGGUGCAAAUAUGAGUAUCUUGAAGUACUUCAGAGCAUUACACUUUUAAAAUGUUGCUCAUUUAAAAUGGAUGCAUUUCUAGAUUUUAAAAAAAAAAUCCCAAAAUCCAAAUGAAAAUGUUACACUAAGGUUUUUAAAGCUGAUGUAUGUAAUAGCAAGUCCAGAUUUGGUGCAUGUAUCUUCCUUUUUGAGGUGUUGUUGUUUGAAUUUUACCCUGUACAAUAAAAGAUUUCUAAAUCACAUUUAAGCUCAAACUAAGAUAAAUUCGUUUGAUUGUACUGAACAGCAAUGCUUCCACUUAUCUAAAAGUUGUACAAGGACACAAAUGAUUUACUGUUAAAUGCGGGAAUGAAAAAGUUAUCAGUGCAAUGAAUUCCUGCUGUCAUUGCCGGCUCUCUAUUUUGAUACCAUUAAUUACUGUAUUCAGCAGAACUAUACUAGAAACCAAAACUAAACAAUAUCAAUAAAGUUUAUAUCCACACAUAUGCAAACAUUUGUGUAGAUACAAAUAUUUCCACUUAUAUACAUACAUACUGAGGAAGACAGUGAGAGAAGAUAGAUGUAGAUGUAGAAGCAGAUGGAUACAUUGUUUCAAAUACAGUUGCAUGUGUAUUGUAUAAAUGCCCAUAUAUGCUAUUAAAUUAUGAAUAUAUAGUGUUUAUUUAGUAAAUUGUAAUACAAGCAAAGUCUCUGUUGAUAACGAGCUCAUCUUUUAAAUAAAGUGAUGUGGAAACAAUUAAA